AAAUGUUAAUAAACUUCCUUAGUUCCCUAAUAUGUCAAACAGUAGUUAACUAUUGGGCCGCGAUGGUAUGGGCCGAGUUGGUCAGUAAUUUGUUAGCUACAAAAUACAAAUGCAAAAGGGUUGUCAAACAAAAUGCUCAUUUUAAUUUUUAAAGCAAAUUUAAAGUGCACUAAACUUUCAGACCUCUCAACUAGAGAAGUUAAGCGUGAGAUUGAAAAAAAAUUUUCCGGAAAAAUUAUUUCGGCGACUUCCCCCCCCCCCCGUCGCCAAAAAAAUUUCGAUCAGUGCACCAUUUUAGGGGUCAAAAAAAUUUUCCGGACAACCAAUAUUUUCCGGAACAUACACAAAAUUUUCAAAAAAUCACAAAAUUUGCCAAAAAUUUACAGAAUUUGUCACAUUUCUUUUAUUGCAACCCAAAAUUGCCCGACUGUUGAUCGAAUAUUGCCCGACUGCCCAAAAAACUCGCCCGGUACGCCUAUGCGGAUAUGCCAAAAUUUUUAUGCGUUAGAUUUACUAAACGUGGCGUGAGAGAGAGCGUGAGACUGAAGCGAAUUGCGUGAGACUCACGCCGAAUGCGUGAGAAUUGAGAGGUCUGGCGUGAGAGCGUGAGACUGAAGCGAAUUGCGUGAGACUCACGCCGAAUGCGUGAGAGUUGAGAGGUCUGAACUUUGCAAAUGCAGCAAUUGUGAGAACAAUGAGAUAGAUCUACUUGACAAUAACUUUAUAGAUGA